rnacentral:rRNA from 1 species
GACGAACGCUGGCGGCGUGCUUAACACAUGCAAGUCGAACGGAAAGGCCCUGCUUGCAGGGUAUUCGAGUGGCGAACGGGUGAGUAACACGUGGGUGAUCUGCCCUGCACUUCGGGAUAAGCCUGGGAAACUGGGUCUAAUACCGGAUAGGAGCCAUUUUUAGUGUGAUGGUUGGAAAGUUUUUUCGGUGUAGGAUGAGCUCGCGGCCUAUCAGCUUGUUGGUGGGGUAAUGGCCUACCAAGGCGGCGACGGGUAGCCGGCCUGAGAGGGUGGACGGCCACAUUGGGACUGAGAUACGGCCCAGACUCCUACGGGAGGCAGCAGUGGGGAAUAGUGCACAAUGGGCGCAAGCCUGAUGCAGCGACGCCGCGUGGGGGAUGACGGCCUUCGGGUUGUAAACUCCUUUCGCUAGGGACGAAGCUUUUUGUGACGGUACCUAGAGAAGAAGCACCGGCUAACUACGUG